CCCUAUACUAAAGUGCAUAAUAUACACUAGAGUCUAGUGAAAAAGAGAAAAUCGUAAGAUCAGAUUUAAGCAAUUCGACAUACCUUCCAAAGGCAUGUCAGUAUUUUUUUAGAUUCUCCAGAUAUGUAUCUCUAAACUUUUUAAAGUCCUUUUGUUAUCAGCAUAUUAUCCAAUUCAGUUAAGGUGCUAUAAUAUUUAUUCAUAUAAUAGUUUCAUAAACUAACUAUAUGAAUCAGGGAUUAUAGGAUCAAAUUCAUUGGUAAUUUUUUAUACAUGAUCAUGUCAAACGUCUCAAGCUCUUCAAUAUCCUUGAUCAUUGUCAAAUAGUGAUCAUGAAUAAACUACCCAUCAAUAUAC
rnacentral:lncRNA from 1 species